rnacentral:rRNA from 1 species
ACUCCUACGGGAGGCAGCAGUGGGGGAAUCUUUGGACAAUAGGGGGCGAAACCCCUCGAUCCAGCCAUGCCGCCGUGAGUGAUGAAGGCCCUAAGGGUCGUAAAGCUCUUUUCGCCAGGGAUGAUAAUGACAGUACCUGGUAAAGAAACCCCGGCUAACUCCGUGCCAGCAGCCGCGGUAAUACGGAGGGGUUAGCGUUGUUCGGAAUUACUGGGGCGUAAAGCGCGCGUAGGCGGACUGGAAAGUUGGGGGUGAAAUCCCAGGGGCUCAACCCUGGAACUGCCUCCAAAACUAUCAGUCUAGAGUUCGAGAGAGGUGAGUGGAAUUCCGAGUGUAGAGGUGAAAUUCGUAGAUAUUCGGAGGAACACCAGUGGCGAAGGCGGCUCACUGGCUCGAUACUGACGCUGAGGUGCGAAAGUGUGGGGAGCAAACAGGAUUAGAUACCCUGGUAGGAUAGCG